AAUUCCUUAAGUAUUUAUUAUGCUUAUGUUAAAUAAUAAAUGAUUCAUUUCAAUUUUUGGGUGAGUCGUUCUGAGUCAAGAUGGCAAACGUUGAUGGAAAAAAUAACAAUGUUAAUAAUCAAAACCAAAUAAGUAUAAAAUAAAAUGGGAAUUCCAGAUUGAUGAAACGAAAACCUUAUGUGGACAAAUGGAGUUGAGAUUUGUGCAACAUGGAUGAACCUGGUGGGCGUUAUGCUCAAUGAAACAAGCCAGACAUAGAAACACAGAUACUGCCUGGGGUCACUUACAUGUGAACUCGAAAAACUAUAAAAGAAAGGUCAACUCAUAGAAACAGAGAAUAGAAAAGUGGUUGCCAGCGGCUGUGGCGUGGGGGAAAUAGAGAGAGGCAGGUAAAAGGAGACAAACUUUCACCUCUCAGAUGAGAAACGUCGGAGGUUCUAAUGUCUGGCGUGGUGACUACAGUCGAUAACACUGAAUUGCAUAAUUGAAAUCAGCUAGGAGACUGGCACUUCAGUGUCCUCACACACACACGCAAAGUCACUAGGUGAGGUGAAAACAGCAAUCAGAGUUGAGGACAGAGCAGGAUCAGGGUAUGAAUCCCUGGGAACUAGAUCAAAUUCCUGGGAGAACUUCAGACUUUCGAAGGCCAUGAGAUAGCUGGCUUCAAACCAAGAAUCCAGGAGACGCAAGGAACCCGGUGACCUCUGGCUUCCAGGGGGAAGACAUAGAAAACUAGCUAAGGUCUAGAAGGCCCAGGAGGGUAGAGGGAGGGAGACGUAGGCUAGAGGGUGGGGGAGGGGCUCUGGUCCAGCCUGCUCCCCUGCUGUCCCCUCCCCAGCCCUCAAGAGCCCUUUGUGACAAGGCCGCACUUCUGUCAUGGGGGCCUGGGGUAAUAAUCUCCAAGCCACUCCCAGAGCUCAGUCGCCUGAGGGCAGCACUGCGUUUCAGACAUGCAGAAUCCUCUCAUGUUUCUGAAAAGCCUCUUUGCUACCUGGCCGAGCUCCAGUUCCACUUCCUGGGUGAUUGGGACCAUCCUCCCCUUCCUGUGUGGACUGGGGCUCUUCCUCCUGUGCCUUCCCUCCCUGCAGAGGAAUCCAUCCUCACGACCACCUUGUGAACGCAGAAACAUAAGGAAGCGUCAAGUGGAGCCAAGAGGGAAGAGCAGCAGGAGCAGGAAGAAAAGGGGAGCUUUGAAAGCUUCCAGAGCUGCUGGGAAGGGCCUGGCAGAAGUGCGGGGCCAGGUGUCGCUUUCGCACAGCUCCCCAGGGAGGCUGUCUUCCAAGGGAUGCUCCCAUCGCUCAUCAUGUCAAGACUACCCUGGGGAGGCGAGCAACACAGCAUACGCCAGAGCCCAGCAGCCAUGCGGAAAGCCUGUGGCAGGUGCUACUCUCACCGUGACUCCAGCACAUUCCCUGAGUCCUCUGACCCACACCCCUAUACCUCUGGCCUCCACCCUGCCAGCAGAACCUCCAGCUGACUUGACCGGAAUCCCACUGGACACUACUGCCAUGAGCACAGCUCCAGCUCACUCCUGUUGGCCAUUUCCCAACUCAGGCCACGGCCGCAUGAGCUGGCGCGUCGAGUUCCUCUCCCGGUGGAACAUGAUCAAGGUCUUGUUCUUCCCCGGGUCAGCACACCUCCAGUCCCAGCAAGGGCACCUGUCCUGCCACCGACCAGUAGCCUCAUUCCGGGGAGGCCCCACACAUAGGGAGGGAGAGACGGAUAGCCCCUCAGUUGCCAACCCUGAUGCGCCAAAGCUGCUCAAGAUGGAAAUCAGGAAAAGAACACAAACGAAGGCCUGGGAAAAAGAAGAACAAGACGACCCAGGCAGCCCUCAGAUGCUCGAAGCACCCAGUAUCACGUCUGGGCUGAAUUUCCGCUGGCGCCCACCCCUCCUGUCCUUGGAGUCGGCUGAUCUGAACGCAAGUGAGGCUCAACCCUCGGCCCUUCCACGGUCUACUUUUCCCUCCUCUGCCACCCGUGAUUCUGGCACCCGCUUGGAGGCCGACAGUGCAGAGUUCUCGGGAAAACCUCUUGAGCCCCACCCAGGAGAGAAACAUAAGACUUUGACCACAAAAGCAUCAGUUCUGCGCCUGGCCCAUCCCCUCCCUUCAACUUCACCUGUGAGUGAGGAAAACCAGAAGGCCCCGGGAGGGACCCUACCUGGCAAUGGCUGUGGGCCCUCUGAGGCCUCUCUGAUGGGACAGCAGGGCCGGCCGCCUUCUCCGAGCUUCGCAUUCAGCCUCUCGGACAGAAAUGGGCAGAGCGGGACGGUCGUGGGGGCCAAGCAAGGCCGUCUACACCUGAGUCCAGGGUCAGCAAUGGCCAGGAACGAGCCUCUGAAAGAGAGUGGAGGUGGGGCGUCACCAGAGCCCUGCCGUGGGGUGGCAACACUGGAGGGCGAGUCAGGGUCCCAGUCUUGGAGCCAGGUCGGAGGAACAGGAGACGCCCUCGGGACCAAACCCCUCCAGGCCCUGCCUGAAAAAGAAGAGGUUUUUCACGUCAGCCCUUUCAGAAAAAUGUUGAGACGCUUCCUGCCCUGCCUGAGGCCCAAGAAGGAGGAAGCACCAGAGGAGCCCCUUGCAAAGGCAAGCCCGCGUCAGCCACCGCCCAGAGCCAGGCACGGGUCACACGCAGCUCGGCGUCGGAUGGCAGGGCUGUUCAGGCGCCAUCGACAGUAUCAUCCUUUGUCUGGGCACUGGGAGAGAGACUGAGGGUUCGCCAAGGACUUCUAGUUUUUCUCCUUACCUCACCCUCUGUGGUGAUGGUGACUUCCAACCCCAAUUUUCCCCAAAUACAUGUUUUUUCUCCUGAGACCUGGUGGCCUCCGUCUUGCCCUGCUAGGGGUAGAAGCAGGGUCAGGCUCCGCCCUCCCUGAGUGUCUGCUGUGGCUUCCAGAAGGGACAGGGCCAUGCGGGGAGGCUGACUGCAGCGUGGCUCACGCGCCCUGACCCCAACUCCCUCAUUGCACGCGAAGUACCCAUCACGCCAUCCUUACAAAAACAAAUGGAAGCUUUAGGAUAUUUCCAGAGGAGCAAAACCUCUAGACCCCAGCCCAGGAUGGGCCCCACCCGUCCUCUCCUGCGUUCUCUGGCCCUUGAGCUUCUGGGGCUGUAGGGAGGGGGUUUGCAGAGGCUCCAGGAAGUGUAGAGACAGAUUCACAGGUCACAGGGCGGGGAGGGGAGUGUGGGGCAGUGCUGGCCCUGAGUCCGGAGAGGGAAAGCUUGCCCUGCACCCCGAGCUCUUGGUGGGAAUAGAUGACGCUGCCCCAGGAGCUUCUUCUGUCCCUGCUGAAGCUGCCAUGGAGAUGGGCCUGCGCAACCCCCUCAGCCCAGCGUCGCCCUCCCUCUGUCCUUGUCACAGUCUGGAACAGCAGCGACGACCACGACUGAGCUCCAGCCUCUGAGGGUGGGCGGUUGGGGAGCACAGAGGCUGCUGCGGGCCUGUCCCCUCUGCCCAGAGGAGCACAGGGCCCUGCUCUCCUGCACCUGCCUUCUCCUCCUGGGGAAUGGAGCCGGGGGGUGAGUGUGUGGCGGCAGGAUCUGAUGAUGGGACACUGUGCACGUAGGGUGGGACCUGGGAGAAGGAGACAAAGUGCCACCAGAGUUUAACCACUUACCUACUGAAGGACAGUUUUUGGUUUUUAUAAUUUUGUCCCCUAUGCGUAAAGCUGCUAUGAACUUCUGGUGAAGGUUUUUGUGUGAACCUAAAUUUUUCUGCACAGUAAAUAUCAAUGGCAAUGAGUAACGAAGGUUUGAAAAUGGGCCCGCCUCCAGGAACUUAGAAAGAAUGCAACACGCAUUAGAGGUUGAAAGGCUGAAACAGGCAGAGAGAGUAACCCUAACACCAUAUCUUAGAUUGAGCCAUUUCCUCAGGAAAAAAAUGCCGUUACCUAACGCACGACAGGUGCCGAGGACGUGGGAGGGACAGGUAUCACCACAUUUAAUAAAACACCAUCAGAACGUAUCUGGACAGGAGACCCCUGACCUUUAACCUGUCACAAGCUCUUUGUUCUUCGUCUCCAGAGAACAUUAAGUAGACAGAGAGCCACACCUAUGGAGCAGGUCCCCUGAAUGAACUGGAUUUCCACUUGAAUUAAGAAGAAACUCAUCGUCGCUGUGGACUCAAAUUAUUUGUGAAUGAACAGACAACUUCAGUUUCUCAUUUGAAUACUAGCGCAGAAUCACUAGAUUAAAUGGUAACGGAAUCCAAUGAAUCCCAACAGAGCAAGAAAGUGUCAGUGUGUUCCUGGCCUUCCUAUCGCUUCUCUACUGAAUAGAAGAGCAAAGGGAACCUUUCUGAAACUCGUCUUAAUAUCGGAGCAGCAGGCAAUUCCUGUACUUCUGUCUUCUGCUAUGACAGAGAUAGAAAUCAUCGUGUAUGUCAGGGAAACAAUCCAAUUUCCCUAAAUUUGGGGUGGGCGGUCUUUAUUUAAUACCAGGGGUUCCCCUCUACUAUUGACACUAUUCCAGUUGGGUCAGGUUUCCUGGAAGAGCUUUCCGAUUGAUUUUCAUUUUAAAACACAUUCGCUCCUCAUCCUCUCUCUGAGCUGGCAGGCAGGCCAAUUCAGGGAACACGCGUGAGGCCUGAGUCAUGUCAGUCCCUGACCUGGGCAGCUGGCUGUGAGGAGGCCCUAACAGACCCAGAACUCUUGUGCGGAAGUGCCUGAAAGCGGGACUCACUGAUCACAGUCAUGGCUCCCAGCCCUUGGUCCCCAUUUGGAGGAAUGGCUCCCCCUCUGGUCUGCAGAUCCCAGGAGGCAGCUGCUGAGACCCUUGCUCUGAGUAGCUGCCGGCCACCCGAGUGGUGUUCCUUUCGUUUCUGCUUUCCUCAGCAGUACCGUGAGGUCCCAGGCUGCGCCACAGAGACUGUCCAACAGCUGGCCUCCCUGGGAAUGCCUGAUUGAGGCCCCAUUUCCUUACACUCUUCCCUAGAAGAUAGUGACUUCUGUACUCACCCAGAGAAUCUUCAGGAAAUCUAUGGUGGGGCGUCUUCAAAAAGAUGCCUAAGGUCUUCACAAGAAAUGGACACGGAGGUCUAGAACAAGUACCGAACAGGGUUAGCUUUAAAGUUGGUGAAAUAUAAGAAAGCUAAAUUAAGAUUGUCAAGAAUAUGAUGCAGUGGGAAAAUAAGUCGUCUAAAAUAUUGAAUUGCACCAACUGUUUCUUCAAGGCUGCGAUGAUCAUUGGAUUUUCUCAUUCAUUCUGUUAACAUGAUCUGUAAUAAUGGUUAAUUCUUUUGAAUGUGAAAACAACCUUGCCUUCAGGAACUCAACUCUCUUUAAUGGCUUUUGUGUCCAUUUGCAUUUCCCCAAGAAUUUUCAUUUCUUUAUCUGAAGCACUGGUGGAUUUCUCUCAUGCUCUUUCAUUGCCUCCACCUUGCUGGAAUAUACCGCACGUUCCAAUGCAGACAUCAGCAUUGUGCUUCCUAGCAGAGAAGGCUGGAACCAAAGAAAUGGGCAAACUCGGAGACUGCAGUGGAGGAUGUGGCAUUGCUGUUAACGAGACCAGGAACCUCACAUUUCAAGAAAAACCACAAUCUCCUUCAUGAACAUAGAUGCACAACUCGUAAACGAGUCAUAAGCAAAAUAUAGCACAGUGAAGAUGAGAUUUAUGAUACUAAAGUGAACACAUGUGUUUUGUUCAGAUCUAGUGACAGCCUGUAUCAUCUACAGUUCAUAAAUGAGGAAAAGUACUAGGAUAUUUCUUCAAAAUGGUACUUUAUUAUAAGGAUGAAGGCUAAAAACUUCUAUUUGGUGGCCUAUUAAUAAGUACAUUAUAGGUUCUUUUUAGUUUUCCCUUAUUUCUUCCUUAGUCCUAUGUUUGCUACGCUAGGCAUAUUUGAGUGCCCAGUAUCUACUCAUUGGCUUACUGGAAGGCCAUCCUUAUCAUAGAAGGACAAUCAGGUCAAAAUUGUGUUGAGCUCUGUGGGGUCAAGAACACAGGACUGAGAGUCAAGAGACUUUGUGAUAGGCCUACCUGUGCCACAAACUAGACAUAUGACCUUAGGCAAGUAAGUCACAUGGCUCAAACCCUACAUAGGCCUUUUCUGGAAGAGGUAUGCCUGGGCCCACAGAAUCUCAAAAUUCCUCCAUUUUGCUUGUAUCUUUCCAAAGUAGUUCCUGCUCUCCAAAACUCUGCGAUCCAGGACAAAAGUAAGACAUAGCUAUAGAUGAUUCUGCUACCAAACGAAUGCUAAAAGAGGUUUACUAGAAGUGGAAUGAUGCAUGUGGACAUAUCGACUUUGCAAGGUUCUCUGAAAUUCUUUUAAAGGAGGCAUUUAUAGAAUUGGAUUUUGAGUCAUGGUUAGGAUGUUAAAGAACUGUUAGAAGGUGCAGAGAAAAGGAAAACCUUGAUCAGAACAGGAAAGUAGGGUUGCAAUGCUUAGCACCUUGAGAAGUGGUGAGCGCACAGACUGUAUCGGUGAGAAGUGAUCCACUGGGAACGUGCUGUAAGAAUGUCUGGACAGAAUGCAGAGCUACAGGUUGACCCACUGCUCACAGUAAUUCCAUGUUCAGACAUGCUAGUGAUGCUCUUUUUUGUGUCAGAUCCUACAGAUAUCUAUUGUUUCUGCCGCAUUUGAACUAUUAAACUAUUCAAGAGUCAAUAUUUUAAAUGGAACCAUGCCUGACACUUCAUAACUGCUAUAUAAGUGUUUGUAAUUACAAAGUAAAUAAAUAACUAACUUCCCAGUAUGCCUGCUCUCUUUGUUCAUGUGCUUCCGUGUGUUUCUUAAUUUGUCCCUACAUUAUUUGAUGAUAGGAGACAAUCAAGUAGCAGACUUGAAUUUCCG
ensembl:lncRNA